GAUGAAGAACGUAGCGAAAUGCGAUAAGUAAUGUGAACUGCAGAAUUCAGUGAAUCAUCGAAUCUUUGAACGCACAUUGCGCCCUCUGGUAUUCCGGGGGGCAUGCCUGUUCGAGCGUCAUUACAACCCUCAAGCUUUGCUUGGUAUUGGACAUUGCCAGUUUCUGGCAGGUCUUAAAAUCAGUGGCGGUGCCAUUUGGCUUCAAGCGUAGUAAUUCUUCUCGCUUUGGAGAUCCAAGUGGUUACUUGCCAAUAACCCCCAAUUUUUUCAGGUUGACCUCGGAUCAGGUAGGGAUACCCGCUGAACUUAAGCAUAUCAAUAAGCGGAGGA
rnacentral:misc_RNA from 1 species